rnacentral:rRNA from 1 species
GCUUGUCUCAAAGAUUAAGCCAUGCAUGUCUAAGUAUAAAUGGUAUACAGUAAAACUGCGAAUGGCUCAUUAAAACAGUUAUAGUUUAUUUGGUAAUCGAAUUUACAUGGAUAACCGUGGUAAUUCUAGAGCUAAUACAUGCUGUAAAGCCCGACUUCUCGGAAGGGCCGUAUUUAUUAGAUAACAGACCAGCAGCUUCGGCUAUUGUGGUGAAUCAUAGUAACUGUUCGAAUCGCAUGGCUUCACGCCGGCGAUAGUUCAUUCAAAUUUCUGCCCUAUCAGCUUUCGACGGUAGUGUAGUGGACUACCGUGGCGUUAACGGGUAACGGAGAAUUAGGGUUCGGUUCCGGAGAGGGAGCCUGAGAAACGGCUACCACAUCCAAGGAAGGCAGCAGG